rnacentral:guide_RNA from 1 species
AUAUAUUACAAUACGUAGAUUAAUAUAGAGUAUGAGAUAUGAGAUAU